rnacentral:rRNA from 1 species
CCUACGGGUGGCAGCAGUGAGGAAUAUUGGUCAAUGGGCGCGAGCCUGAACCAGCCAAGUAGCGUGAAGGAUGACUGCCCUACGGGUUGUAAACUUCUUUUAUAAAGGAAUAAAGUGAGGCACGUGUGCCUUUUUGUAUGUACUUUAUGAAUAAGGAUCGGCUAACUCCGUGCCAGCAGCCGCGGUAAUACGGAGGGUGCGAGCGUUAAUCGGAAUUACUGGGCGUAAAGCGCACGUAGGCUGUAUGUCAAGUCAAGGGUGAAAUCCCACGGCUCAACCGUGGAAUUGCCUUUGAAACUGGCAAACUGGAGUAUGUGAGAGGGCGGCGGAAUUCCUGGUGUAGGGGUGAAAUGCGUAGAUAUCAGGAGGAACAUCAGUGGCGAAGGCGGCCGCCUGGCACAAAACUGACGCUGAGGUGCGAAAGCGUGGGUAGCAAACAGGAUUAGAUACCCCAGUAGUC